rnacentral:sRNA from 1 species
AAAACAUGCAAAUUAUAGACAUAUCAGACUUCAUCUACACCAUCAAAGCUUUGAGAAGCAAGAAGUGUCUUAGUUAGUGUUGUGGAGUCAAAUAUGACUAGAUGUCAUGUGUAUGAGUGAGUAUAACAACUAGAACCGCAACCGGAUUUUAAAAGCAUAAACAAUGACAAAGACUCAUAUGGACUUCGCCUACACCAUCAAAGCUUUGAAAAGCAAGAAGAAGCUUGGUUAGUGUUUUGGAGUGAAAUAUGACUAGAUGUCAUGUGUAUGAGGGAGUAUAACAACUAGAAUCGCAACCAGAUCUUAAAAGCCUAAGUAUUGUAUCCUUGUUAGAAGAUACAAAGACGAAGACCCAUACGGACUUCGGCUACACCAUCAAAGCUUUGAGAAGCAAAAAGAAGCUUGGUUUGU